rnacentral:rRNA from 1 species
CGGAGGAUGCAAGCGUUAUCCGGAUUUAUUGGGUUUAAAGGGUGCGUAGGCGGACGCGUAAGUCAGCGGUGAAAUAUCCCGGCUCAACCGGGAGGCUGCCGUUGAUACUGCGCGACUGGAGUCCAAAACGGCGCCGGCGGAAUAUGUAAUGUAGCGGUGAAAUGCAUAGAUAUUACAUAGAACACCGAUCGCGAAGGCAGCUGACGAGGAUGGUACUGACGCUGAGGCACGAAGGCGUGGGAUCAAACAGGAUU